rnacentral:rRNA from 1 species
UACGGAGGGUGCAAACGUUGCUCGGAAUCAUUGGGCGUAAAGCGUGUGUAGGCGGUCUGUUAAGUCGGGUGUGAAAGCCCUGGGCUCAACCCAGGAAGUGCAUUCGAAACUAGCAGACUUGAGUACGGGAGAGGGUCGCGGAAUUCCCGGUGUAGAGGUGAAAUUCGCAGAUAUCGGGAGGAACACCAGUGGCGAAGGCGGCGACCUGGACCGAUACUGACGCUGAGACACGAAAGCGUGGGGAGCAAACAGG